rnacentral:rRNA from 1 species
CAGCAGCCGCGGGAAUACGUAGGUGGCAAGCGUUGUCCGGAAUUAUUGGGCGUAAAGGGCUCGCAGGCGGUUUCUUAAGUCUGAUGUGAAAGCCCCCGGCUCAACCGGGGAGGGUCAUUGGAAACUGGGAAACUUGAGUGCAGAAGGGGAGAGUGGAAUUCCACGUGUAGCGGUGAAAUGCGUAGAGAUGUGGAGGAACACCAGUGGCGAAGGCGACUCUCUGGUCUAUAACUGACGCUGAGGAGCGAAAGCGUGGGGAGCGAACAGGAUUAGAUACCCCGGUAGUCCCUGUCUCUUAUAC